GGGCUUAACUGUCUCCCCCCUCCAGUCAGUGAAAUUGAUCUAUCCGUGCAGAAGCGGGUAUAACACUACAAGACGAGAAGACCCUUUGGAGCUUAAGGUACAAGAUUCAGCCAUGUUAAGCGACUCCAUGGAAAGCAAGAACUUAAUGGCCAUGAAAUUUUACCUUCGGUUGGGGCGACCACGGAGGAAAAGCAAGCCUCCGAGUGGACUGGGCCAAAACCCCUAAAGCCAAAAGAGACAUCUUUAAGCCGCAGAACAUCUGACCAACAAUGAUCCGGCUAAAAAGCCGAUCAACGGACCAAGUUACCCUAGGGAUAACAGCGCAAUCCUCUCCCAGAGCCCAUAUCGACGAGGGGGUUUACGACCUCGAUGUUGGAUCAGGACAUCCUGGUGGUGCAGCCGCUAUUAAGGGUUCGUUUGUUCAACGAUUAAAGUCCUACGUGAUCUGAGUUCAGACCGGAGCAAUCCAGGUCAGUUUCUAUCUGUAACGCUACUUUUCCCAGUCCGAAAGGAUCGGAAAAGGGGGGCCUAUACUUAACGCAUGCCCCACCCCUAAUUCAUGAAAACAAAUAAAUAAAAUAAGGGAGGGCCCAGACCCCUGCCGCC
rnacentral:rRNA from 1 species